GACGAACGCUGGCGGCGUGCUUAACACAUGCAAGUCGAGCGGUAAGGCCCUUUCGGGGGUACACGAGCGGCGAACGGGUGAGUAACACGUGGGUGACCUGCCCUCAGCUCUGGGAUAAGCCCGGGAAACUGGGUCUAAUACUGGAUAUGACUCCACGGUGCAUGCCGUGGGGUGGAAAGCCUUGUGCGGCUGAGGAUGGGCCCGCGGCCUAUCAGCUUGUUGGUGGGGUGAUGGCCUACCAAGGCGACGACGGGUAGCCGGCCUGAGAGGGCGACCGGCCACACUGGGACUGAGACACGGCCCAGACUCCUACGGGAGGCAGCAGUGGGGAAUCUUGCGCAAUGGGCGAAAGCCUGACGCAGCGACGCCGCGUGAGGAUGACGGCCU
rnacentral:rRNA from 1 species